rnacentral:rRNA from 1 species
UACGAAGGGGGCUAGCGUUGCUCGGAAUGACUGGGCGUAAAGGGCGCGUAGGCGGCUCAUACAGUCAGAUGUGAAAUUCCUGGGCUUAACCUGGGGGCUGCAUUUGAUACGUGUGGGCUUGAGUGGGGAAGAGGGUCGUGGAAUUCCCAGUGUAGAGGUGAAAUUCGUAGAUAUUGGGAAGAACACCGGUGGCGAAGGCGGCUAUCUGGCCCGUAAUUGACGCUGAGGCGCGAAAGCGUGGGGAGCAAACAGG